rnacentral:rRNA from 1 species
GAUGAACGCUGGCGGCGUGCCUAAUACAUGCAAGUCGAGCGAACGGACGAGAAGCUUGCUUCUCUGAUGUUAGCGGCGGACGGGUGAGUAACACGUGGAUAACCUACCUAUAAGACUGGGAUAACUUCGGGAAACCGUAGCUAAUACCGGAUAAUAUUUUGAACCGCAUGGUUCAAAAGUGAAAGACGGUCUUGCUGUCACUUAUAGAUGGAUCCGCGCUGCAUUAGCUAGUUGGUAAGGUAACGGCUUACCAAGGCAACGAUGCAUAGCCGACCUGAGAGGGUGAUCGGCCACACUGGAACUGAGACACGGUCCAGACUCCUACGGGAGGCAGCAGUAGGGAAUCCUCCGCAAUGGGCGAAAGCCUGACGGAGCAACGCCGCGUGAGUGAUGAAGGUCUUCGGAUCGUAAAACUCUGUUAUUAGGGAAGAACAUAUGUGUAAGUAACUGUGCACAUCUUGACGGUUCCUAAUCAGAAAGCCACGGCUAACUACGUG